CCCUUAGAUGUUCUGGGCUGCACGCGCGCUACACUGAUGCGCUCAACGAGUUUACGACCUUGCCCGGAAGGGUUGGGUAAUCUUUUUAAAACGCAUCGUGAUGGGGAUAGAUUAUUGCAAUUAUUAAUCUUUAACGAGGAAUUCCUAGUAAGCGCGGGUCGUCAGCUCGUGCUGAUUACGUCCCUGCCCUUUGUACACACCGCCCGUCGCUCCUACCGAUUGAAUGUUCCGGUGAGCUCUUCGGACUGCGCGGUCUGCAGUUUCUGCGUUCCGUGCGGAAAGUUGCGCAAACCUUAACAUUUAGAGGAAGGAGAAGUCGUAACA
rnacentral:rRNA from 1 species